GGAAUUAUUCUGAUUGGACGAAAUUAAUCCCGCGCCAAAUACGCUUCAGAAGAAAGUGGAGAUGGAGAAAUUUUCGAAAGACGGCAGGAAGGUUAUCGAAGCCGAAGAAAAUGGGAUUACUCCUAAAAUUUACUGACGCGGACAUCAGAGAUGCAUUCGAUUGCUUGAUGGAUCGUUUUGAAGUGUGCCAGAUACAGAGUCGUCAUGCUUUGCUGACAUCGACACAAACAGGCAGUAUUAUUAGCAGCCAGAACCUGAAGAUGUAAGCUUUAGUGCAAGAUCUUCAAAUGAUAAUUAAAGCAUAUGUGUACAAGCUCAGAAGAUAACACCAGCCUGCAGGAUGACAGUGAUGUGUAAAAUGUCCCAAGAUAUACAGCGAAAGAUUUGCUAUUGAAAAAGGAUAAAAGAGGAAUACCUAAAGCACCACAACAGUUUUUCAGCAAUCUCAUGCAAGAUGCGGCAGACACGUACUGGCAAUAUUUAAAAAAAAGAUCUCCCCUUGCACCAAAUAUUCUUGGAAAAUAACAACGGUUUUUUAAAAAUGUAUUAUCAGUGACACCUCAAUUAAGCAGACAUACAAAGAGGUAUGGCAAAUACUAGGAAUAAUUUUGCAAAACAAAAGAGAAUAUCUUUUAGAUAAAAGUUUAGGCAAAAGAAGUUCUACCAAGAAAAAUGACAACAGUAAUAAUUGGAACGUACAGUGUGGAGCUUGCAAUUGGAAAUAAAGUGUUUGUUACUGACAAAACAAAAACUUAAUGGUGAAGGAAUUAUUAUUUCCGAUCCUAAUUCCAAAUUUGUUUAAAAAGCUUUGAACAAACUCAGUGAUUUAGACGAAAUAGAAGACGAACAUUUCGAACUUCAAACACCAUCAAUUGUUACAUGGAGAAUGGAUAGACUCGCAAUAAGUAGACCGGGUAAAAAGUGUGCAAGUUCUACAACGAGGAAACCAGCAUGUAUUUGCAUAUACAAUACAGAUAAAUUUCAAGAGUUUUGGGAAACCUGUAUUCUACAACUCUAACCUAAUAAUGUCAGCUGUAUCAUAUUCUUGAAACCACACAGACCAUAUGUGAACCAUGCAUCCAUAUUUCAUAUUUAACAAUGCUAAAUAUGUAGCAGUAAAAACUUUUGCAAAUAUA
rnacentral:lncRNA from 1 species